rnacentral:rRNA from 1 species
CAGGUGAAAACCUGGGCAAUACCGGAUGUGACAGAAGAUUGGCAUCUUUCUUCUAUCAAAGGAGCAAUUCGCUUCAGGAACGGUUCAUGACUCAUCAGCUAGUUGGUGGGGUAAAGGCCUACCAAGGCUACGACGGGUAGGGGGUCUGAGAGGAUGAUCCCCCCGAGAGGGACUGAGACACGGCCCUCACACCUACGGGUGGCAGCCGUUAGGAAUCGUUGUCAAUGGGGGAAACCCUGAACACGCGACGCCGCGUGGAGGAUGAAGGAUCUAGGUCUGUAAACUCCUUUUACCAGGAAAGACUUAGGACGGUACCUGGUGAAUAAGCUCCGGCUAACUACGUGCCAGCAGCCGCGGUGAUACGUAGGGAGCAAGCGUUGUCCGGAUUUACUGGGCGUAAAGGGCGCGUAGGCGGCUCAUUAAGUGUGUGGUGAAAUCUCUGUGCUCAACGCAGAAAUGGCCACGCAUACUGGCGAGCUUGAGGGACGUAGAGGUGAAUAGAAUUUCUGGUGUAGCGGUGACAUGCGAUCAUAUCAGAAGGAAUACCAAUGGCGAAGGCAGUUCACUGGACGUCUCCUGACGCUGAGGCGCGAAAGCGUGGGUAGCAAACAGAAUUAGAUACUCUAGUAGUCCACGCCCUAAACGAUGGAUGCUAGGCGUUGGGGGUAUCGACCCCUCCAGUGCCGCAGCUAACGCAUUAAGCAUCCCGCCUGGGGAGUACGGCCGCAAGGUUGAAACUCAAAUGAAUUGACGGGACCCCGCACAAGCGGUGGAGCAUGUGGAUUAAUACGAUACUAACCGUAGAACCUUACCCAGGUUUGACAUCGCGGGAAAGCCUGUGAAAGCAGGCCCUCCUCCACAAGAGGACCCAAAGACACCUGUUGCAUGGCUGUCGUCAGCUCGUGCCGUGAGGUGUUUGGUUAAGUCCAGCAACGAGCGCAACCCUCGUCUUAUGUUGCCAGCGGGUAAUGCCGGGAACUCAUGAGAGACUGCCUGUGUAAGCAGGAGGAAGGUGGGGAUGACGUCAAGUCAGCAUGGCGGUUACGCCUGGGGCUUCACACAUGCUACAAUGGGCGAAACAGAGCGCAGCAAUACCGCGAGGUGGAGCUAAUCGCAAAAAUACGUCCUCAGUUCAGAUUGCAGUCUGCAACUCGACUGCAUGAAGGCGGAAUCGCUAGUAAACGCAGAUCAGCUAUGCUGCGUUGAAUACGUUCCCGGGGUUUGUACACACCGCCCGUCAAGUCACCCGAGUCGUUUUCACCCGAAGUCCGUGGCCCAACCGAAAGGAGGGAGCGGCCGAAGGUGGGGGGGGCGAGGGGGACUAAGUCGUAACAAGGUA